GGAGAGGUGCCGGAGUGGUCGAACGGGCUCGCCUGGAAAGUGAGUGUGCGGUGUUGAGCCGCACCGAGGGUUCGACAAAUUCGUCGGGAACGAAUUUGGUCGCACGAAGUGCGCCCGCAGGGCCGAACACAGGAUGUGUUCGGACAAUCCCUCCCUCUCCGCCA
rnacentral:tRNA from 1 species